UGGGGAAUAUUGGACAAUGGGCGCAAGCCUGAUCCAGCCAUGCCGCGUGAGUGAUGAAGGCCUUAGGGUUGUAAAGCUCUUUCGCCGACGAAGAUAAUGACGGUAGUCGGAGAAGAAGCCCCGGCUAACUUCGUGCCAGCAGCCGCGGUAAUACGAAGGGGGCUAGCGUUGUUCGGAAUCACUGGGCGUAAAGCGCACGUAGGCGGAUUGUUAAGUCAGGGGUGAAAGCCUGGAGCUCAACUCCAGAACUGCCCUUGAUACUGGCAAUCUCGAGUCCGGAAGAGGUAAGUGGAACUGCGAGUGUAGAGGUGAAAUUCGUAGAUAUUCGCAAGAACACCAGUGGCGAAGGCGGCUUACUGGUCCGGUACUGACGCUGAGGUGCGAAAGCGUGGGGAGCAAAACAGGAUUAGAUACCCUGGUAGUCCACGCCGUAAAACGAUGGAGGCUAGCCGUUGGCGAGCAUGCUCGUCAGUGGCGCAGCUAACGCAUUAAGCCUCCCGCCUGGGGAGUACGGUCGCAAGAUUAAAACUCAAAGGAA
rnacentral:rRNA from 1 species